rnacentral:rRNA from 1 species
UACGUAGGGGGGCAAGCGUUGUCCGGAUUUAUUGGGCGUAAAGAGCGUGUAGGCGGUUUGGUAGGUCCGCUGUGAAAACUCGAGCUCAACUUCGAGACGCCGGUGGAAACCAUCAGACUAGAGUCCGGAAGAGGAGAGUGGAAUUCCUGGUGUAGCGGUGAAAUGCGCAGAUAUCAGGAGGAACACCGAUGGCGAAGGCAGGUCUCUGGGCCACUACUGACGCUGAGAAGCGAAAGCCAUGGGGGAGCGAACAGGG